rnacentral:rRNA from 1 species
GACGAACGCUGGCGGCGUGCUUAACACAUGCAAGUCGAACGGAAAGGUCCUGCUUUUGUGGGGUGCUCGAGUGGCGAACGGGGGAGUAACACGUGAGUAACCUGUCCCUGACUGAGGGGUAACUUCAGGAAACUGGGGCUCUUACCGGAUAGGAGCUCUUGCCGCAGGGUGGGGGUUGGAAAGUUUCGGCGGUUGGGAAUGGACUAGCGGCUUAUGAGCUUGUUGGUGGGGUAGUGGCUUAGCAAGGCUUGGACGGGUAGCCGGCCUGAGAGGGUGACCGGCCACGUUGGGCCUGGGAUACGGCCCAGACUCCUACGGGACGCAGCGGUGGAGAAUAUUACACAGUGGGCUGGAGCCUGAUGCGGCCACGCCGCGUGCGGGAAGACGGCCUUCGGGUUGUAAACCGCUUUCGCCUGUGACGAAGCGUGAGUGACGGUACCGGGUAAAGAAGCACCGGCUAACUACGUG